UACAGAGGUCCCAAGCGUUGUUCGGAUUCACUGGGCGUAAAGGGUGCGUAGGUGGCUUGGUAAGUUUGAUGUGAAAUCCCCGGGCUUAACCUGGGAACUGCAGUCGAGACUGUCUAGCUAGAGUAUGGGAGAGGGAAGUGGAAUUUCAGGUGUAGCGGUGAAAUGCGUAGAUAUCUGAAGGAACAUCAGUGGCGAAAGCGACUUCCUGGACCAAUACUGACGCUCAUGUGCGAAAGCGUGGGGAGCAAACAGG
rnacentral:rRNA from 1 species